rnacentral:rRNA from 1 species
AACGAACGCUGGCGGCAUGCCUAACACAUGCAAGUCGAACGAGACCUUCGGGUCUAGUGGCGCACGGGUGCGUAACGCGUGGGAACCUUCCCUUAGGUUCGGAAUAACUCCCCGAAAGGGGUGCUAAUACCGGAUAAUGUCUUCGGACCAAAGAUUUAUCGCCUUUGGAUGGGCCCGCGUUGGAUUAGCUAGUUGGGAGGGUAAAAGCCUACCAAGGUGACGAUCCAUAGCUGGUCUGAGAGGGUGAUCAGCCACACUGGGAGUGAGAAACGGCCCAGACACCUAGACUAGGAAGCAGUACGGAAUCCUCCGGGAGGGGGGAGAGGGGAAUGGUGGAACAUGGGGGAAGGGAUGAUGGAGCAAGGACGGGAGAGUGAUGAAGGCAGUAAGGUAGAAAAGCGCUAGUAACCGGGAUGAUAAUGACAGUACCGGGAGAAUAAGCCCCGGCUAACUACGUG